ACAUGCAAGUCGAGCGGAUGAAGGGAGCUUGCUCCUGGAUUCAGCGGCGGACGGGUGAGUAAUGCCUAGGAAUCUGCCUGGUAGUGGGGGAUAACGUCCGGAAACGGGCGCUAAUACCGCAUACGUCCUGAGGGAGAAAGUGGGGGAUCUUCGGACCUCACGCUAUCAGAUGAGCCUAGGUCGGAUUAGCUAGUUGGUGGGGUAAAGGCCUUCCAAGGCGACG
rnacentral:rRNA from 1 species